GCAGUGCGUGGAGGGAGGGAAUGAGGUGGCCGUGAAGCUCAGGACAAGACGCCUCGUCAGGGCUGUGCUGUUCUUCCCUGCCUCCUGAUCGUAGAGAUACAUGCAUCACUCUGGGGCUGUGAGGAGGACAGAAGGCGUUGAGGACAAAGGUGGGAGCCCCACAGGAGGCCACUGCAACGGCCUCGGGAGGACAGCAGCUUGGACCAAGGUGGCCAUGACCAACACAGGCCUGAGAUCGAUGUGGAAGUUGCACACUGUGCCUGGAGCUGCAGCCACACCAUCCUGGGCAAGGAGGCUUUGGAAGACACCAUAGGGCGUUAAGUCAACGGACUUCCUAUUUGUCAGCACACCAAGAGCACAGCAGGUUUUUUCGGCUCCAAAAGACUGCCCAGGCCAGAGUAUUCACUCUGCAGAUCCUGCAGGCUGUAACCCUCUCAGAGACCAGAGCUGCAUCUUCCAGAGGGGUGAGGUGAGGCUGCUGAGAAGAUGCUAUCGUGGGGAGACAAAGGAUGGUCCCUCGUCCCUGCUGGGGCAACGCAGGGAACUCCAGAGCACGUCCUGUCACCUCCCUGCGGGCAGCACUGUCCCCACAGCUCUGUCUUUGCCCAAAGUCAGCUCUCCAGGACAUCCAGCCCUGAUAAACACCCCGCCCUG